GACCUCGAUAUUCGACGUCAUGAGCACGUUAAACUUAGGUGUUUAUGACGUCGAUAUUUGACGUCAUAAACACGAUCACCUUAGGUGUUUAUGACGUCGAUAUUCGACGUCAUAAACACGAUCAAGUUAGGUGUUUAUGACGUCGACAUUCGACGUC